rnacentral:lncRNA from 1 species
UUUAUUUCUAGAAAAACGAUAAAAUAUUAUACUUUUGAUGCUCAAACUAUGAAUUGUGUGACACUUUGGUUUUCAAAUUUUAAUUUGUUGUAAUUUCUGACUCGUACGUUUUGAAUUAUCGCAAUUAGGUCCUAUUGUGAUUGAUGAUGUAAAAAUAAUUAAAAUGUUAUAUCAUAAAGAUUAAGAUAAAAAUUACAACAAAUUAAAUUUUGUGGACCAAAGUAUCACACAAGUCAUAGUUUGAGGACCAAAACUGUAAUUUACCCUUCUAUAAAAUUUUGAAAUUAAAGAUGUUCAAAGUUCAAUUAUUAAAUAUAUCCUCUAAAACUCUAAAUUACGCAAAUUUAACAUUUUCUUUCAUGUCCGGACUCGAAACUGUUUGUAGGCCUAUGAUGUGCACCGGAAUUAAAUGAGAUGAAAUCAAGUACGUUAGGAGUCUGGCAUGACUCGAACUCAAGUCUUACUGUUCGGUUUAUUAAUUUCCAGUAGCUUAAGCUAAUAAAGAGCAAUAUUUUUAUAUCUUUUACACUUAACAUUUCUGAUAGCUUAAACUAUUAGAAAACAACGAUUACUAUAUAAUUCACCUUCAAACAGAAAAGAACAUGAGAUUGUCGAGUCGGACCCCACC